UGUGGUCUUCAUAGCCACUUGAACACUUGAGCCAAAUACAGGAAAUAUGACAUGCAAGUAGACAAGUGCUCAAAUGCAAAGACCGCAAGUGUGG